CCUGAUUGAGCAAGCUGACAUUUUCUCUCUCUACAACCCUCAUUCCACUCACUCACUCACGUUCGUUUCUCUCUCCUCACACAAAUUCAAAUGCAAUCGUCUCUCUCUUCAAAAACCGCCAAUUAUAUCCUAAUUUCACGAAGGUCCAAAGAUUUUGAGAUACUUUUAUCUAAUUAUUUCAAUUUUGUUCCUUUGAUAAUGUCGAAUUUGCUCGAUGUUUUGCGAUAUUUGCUCGAAAUUCUCUGAUUUUUGCUCGAGUUUAUGCGAUUUUUGCUUAACUUCUGCGGUUUUUGCUCGAGUUUUUGCAAAUUACACCACAUCAUUUUAAUCCUAAUGUUUUGAAGAAUUUGCAGCUUGAACUUUCUGGUGCCAGAGCUUUGAUGUUUCCGGCGACUGAAAUACUGAGGUGCUUGAUAGUUCUGUGCAAAUAGCAUUGUAUUUUGAUGUUGAGAGCAUCACAAAAGCCGCAAAAAGUUCCAAAGAUACAAAAGCGUUCGUGCGACACUAAGACAAACAGGGAGGACUUCUCCUGGACGCUUCAAAAUUUCAAUUACCAAAUCAAUUUGAGAGUUGAGAUCAUGCUUGGAUAAGCAACUUCCCAUGACACACGUAGCACGCAGCGUCAGCGUCAGCGUAUUCAAAGACAAAUGAGGGAACCAUUCAAGAGUCCCAAGAGCAAGAUCAAAGGCGACAAUUCUCACAAGUUUAGCGGAUUGAAGAGCAAUUGUUACCGAGUUUGUUUCCCUUUCUCAAGUUUUAACUUUUCAGUUCUCCUACAAUAAAAAUUUAGAAAUUCAUUAAUUAUCUGAACAGCUUGUUUUCAGUCUCAAGAAAUGAUUCAAACCUA